UACGUAGGGUGCAAGCGUUAAUCGGAAUUACUGGGCGUAAAGCGUGCGCAGGCGGUGAUGUAAGACAGGUGUGAAAUCCCCGGGCUUAACCUGGGAACUGCAUUUGUGACUGCAUCGCUGGAGUGCGGCAGAGGAGACUGGAAUUCCUGGUGUAGCAGUGAAAUGCGUAGAUAUCAGGAGGAAUACCGAUGGCGAAGGCAGGUCUCUGGGCUGACACUGACGCUCAUGCACGAAAGCGUGGGGAGCAAACAGG
rnacentral:rRNA from 1 species